AUGGGCAGAGCAAUGGUGGCCAGGCUUGGGCUGGGGCUGCUGCUGCUGGCACUGCUCCUACCCACGCAGAUUUAUUCCAGUGAAACAACAACUGGAACUUCAAGUAACUCCUCCCAGAGUACUUCCAACACUGGGUUGGCCCCAAAUCCAACUAAUGCCACCACCAAGGCGGCUGGUGGUGCCCUGCAGUCAACAGCCAGUCUCUUCGUGGUCUCACUCUCUCUUCUGCAUCUCUACUCUUAA
rnacentral:lncRNA from 1 species